GCUUCCGGCGUCUCGCGGAGUUCCGCCAUCUUGAGCGAAUCGUACCCCUCCGAGGUCUCGUCGGGAGCCGGCGGGGCGCGCCCCGGGACGGGACAAGUACUCGGUGCUGUUGCCCACCUACAACGAGCGCGAAGAACCUGCCCUCAUCGUGUGGCUGCUGGUGAAAAGCUUCUCCGAGAGUGGAAUCGACUAUGAAAUUAUAAUCAUAGAUGAUGGGAGCCCAGAUGGAACAAGGGAGGUUGCUGAACAGUUGGAGAAGAUCUAUGGAUCAGACAAAAUUGUGUUCUCAUACUUUCAAAAGGAAAUACUGCCUGCAGCUAAAAGUUUAUAACUGAGAAAGCUUCUAAGACCACGGGAGAAAAAGUUGGGACUAGGAACUGCAUAUAUACAUGGAAUGAAACAUGCCACAGGAAACUACAUAAUUAUUAUGGAUGCUGAUCUCUCACACCAUCCAAAAUUUAUUCCUGAAUUCAUUAGUGGAAUCGACUAUGAAAUUAUAAUCAUAGAUGAUGGGAGCCCAGAUGGAACAAGGGAGGUUGCUGAACAGUUGGAGAAGAUCUAUGGAUCAGACAAAAUUCUUCUAAGACCACGGGAGAAAAAGUUGGGACUAGGAACUGC